AAAAUCUGGGGCUUAACCCCAGACCUGCAUUCGAUACGGGCGAGCUAGAGUGUGGUAGGGGAGACUGGAAUUCCUGGUGUAGCGGUGGAAUGCGCAGAUAUCAGGAGGAACACCAAUGGCGAAGGCAGGUCUCUGGGCCAUUACUGACACUGAGGAGCGAAAGCGUGGGGAGCGAACAGGAUUAGAUACCCUGGUAGUCCACGCCGUAAACGGUGGGCACUAGUUGUGGGAACCUUCCACGGUUUCUGCGACGCAGCUAACGCAUUAAGUGCCCCGCCUGGGGAGUACGAUCGCAAGAUUAAAACUCAAAGGAAUUGACGGGGCCCCGCACAAGCAGCGGAGCAUGCGGCUUAAUUCGACGCAACGCGAAGAACCUUACCAAGGCUUGACAUAUACAGGAAUAUGGCAGAAAUUCCAUAGCCGCAAGGUCUGUAUACAGGUGGUGCAUGGUUGUCGUCAGCUCGUGUCGUGAGAUGUUGGGUUAAGUCCCGCAGCGAGCGCAACCCUCGUUCUGUGUUGCCAGCAUUUAGUUGGGGACUCACAGGAGACUGCCGGGGGUAACUCGGAGGAAGUGGGGAUGACGUCAAAUCAUCAUGCCCUUAUGUCUUGGGCUGCACGCAUGUACAUGGCUGGUACAAAC
rnacentral:rRNA from 1 species